GUGCUCACUUCAGCAGCACAUAUGCUAAAAUUGGAAUGAUGCAGAGAUUAUCAUGUCCCUUGCACAAGGAUGACACGCAAACUCAUGAAGUAUUCUAUAUAUUU
ensembl:snRNA U6 U6 spliceosomal RNA